ACAGUUUUUUUUCCAGACCCUCUAGGUGCUUCCUUGCUGUUCUCCUGGUUUGACUCAGUUCUAACUUCAGCUUCAGACUCUGAUAAGACUAGGCAUUCCAUGACUCAGCUUCUGAAUUCAGUUCUGACAGCAGACCACUCUGGAAUCCCUGGGAAACCAGCUCUGUGGGAAACCAGUCUUGGGUACAUCUGUACUUCAGUUUCACUUAAUGUCAGGAGAUUGUCGAAGUUUCAGAAUCAGCAUCCAUAUUCACCACC